CCGCCUUCCUCAGCCGCGGAUACGACCCGCCGACAGCCCCCGAUACGGACCCUCACCCUCGCCGCGCCGAGCGCCGCUUGCUCUGGCAGGUACUUGCUCUUCCGUUCUCUCCGUUUUGUCUGGGGAAAUCUACCGAUGGAACGUUCGGUUCGACUCGACGGCGCCGCUGCCGCCGGCGGCAGAUCAUCGAGGUUGUGCUCGUGGAGAGAGUCGGAGCGGCGCGGAAGCAGGGGAGGGGGGAAGGGGGCUGCGCAGCGGAAGGAGGCGGUGGUGGGCGAGAGGACGCGGUGGGCGUGGGUGGGUAAGAGGAGCAGGGAAGGAAGAAGAAGCAGGAGCCAGGAGGUGCGGGGGCGUCAAGCCCUAGUGCAUUCGUUUUAUUGGAGCAGAAGGGAGGCGGUGGUGGGCGGGAGGACGCGGUGGUCGUCGCUGGGGAAUAGGAGCAGGGGAGGAAGAAGAAGGAGCCAGGGGGUGCGGGGGCGUCAGGCCCUAGUGCACUACUUUUAGGUUUUACACGAAAUGGAACUCCACGGAUACUCAAUUACUCAUUAUAGAUAGAAUAAGUCGCCUAAUUUAGUGACUAAAUAUUUGCAACUUUUACAUGUUUCUGCACUUUCUUUAACAAAACCUGCUGUGAUGUACUUACGGGAGUAAGGGAGUGCUUUAGCUGCAACCCAAGUUCAUGCCCAUGUUGCUUAUUAAGUGCAGCAGGUUUCCCCUGAUCCCUGUGAUCUCGGUCUAUGCCGUGAACAGUGCUCAGACUAAUUAAGAGUAGUCAUUAGUUAAUAGUCAGUUCUUCAGUUCUGAUGCAGCUAGUAAUAAAUUGCUCUUUCUCACAGAGUAGAUAUUGUGUGUUUGCAUGAAGUGAAGCUAUAAACUGUACUAGUUUAUUCUAUCCGAGAUGUUCAAGAAUUCCAUUUCUCAAGCUGCUUAUCUUCAGAGUUACAGUUUAACUUGCGGGGUGUGUUUUGGAAAUCAGUAAGGUUUAGAAUUGCUAUCUGAACUAUGUGUAUCUACUCCUUGCAUAUUAUACUUGUGCAGCGUGUUACUCCAUGAUGGCACAACUGAGUUAAAGACGCACAUCACAAUAGGACAUGUAAAACAAAUACUCCCUCUGUUCACAAGAUGUUCUAACUUUUUUCUGAAUUGGAUGUAUGUAGACAUGUUUUAGUGUGUUUGUUCACUUAUGUAGUCCAUAUUGAAAUAUCCCAAUCAUCUUAUAUUUGGGCACGAAGGAAGUAGUAAUUAAGACUACUCUACAGUGAUGGUUGCUGCUUUGUGUUGGAGCUACUGCUGUGUGUUACUUUGUCUGUAUUAUUGUUUUAAGAAUUGGAUUUGUAGCUUAUGGACACUCUCUUUUGUGCCAGCGUCCCUGCAAUGCAAGGAAUACUUGCCUGAGGUUUGAGGUAUGUGUCUUUUAGCUCAAUACAAGACUAAUUGUAUUUCGUCUGUUGUUGUCAGCAUUUGAUCUAUUACUCAUGGUUUGCUUUUCAUUGUCAGUGUUGUUGGUCACAAAAACGCUUGAUUCUUAACAUUUGCGCUCUGUCCCAGAUCUAUUUCUCCCUGCUGCUCUACGAUUACCACGCAAGGAGUCCUUGCAUCUCAGAUCGUUUGGACAGCACUACUUGAUCACACUCUACAACCUUAGGUUUGGGGUAUGCAAAAUUUGAUCAUUAUCUUUUAUUCUUAUGCUAUAUUCUUUUAUUGACUUUUGUGUUUUUUACUGUGAAGGCUGGAAUACUAUCGAAUAUUUUGAGCUCGGUUAUUUGAACCAAGAUCAGUAUACAAUGAGAAUGGAACUCUUGUUGUCGCACUUUUUGAUAUAUUGAAAAUGCCAUCAAGAAUAUUUGUCGUCAAAGUGUUUUCACGACUUAUUCAAAGACAACAAGAAUGGAACUCGGGAUGUCAGUUCAAAUGUCAAAUUCUCAAAACUUUUGGAAGGCAACUUGUGGAACUUUAGGUCAUGAGGAUGGAAAACUUAUGUGCGCUUAUCAUUUCAUCAACUUUCUAGUUCCUAUUUUGAAAGUUGAUAAACAAAUCACAUCUCCAUGAGACUUUGAAUCGUAAAAGAGAAUGGAACUUGGGUUGCCACUUUAACUGUCGAAUUCCUGGAUAUUUUUGAAAGGCAACUUGUGGAAGGAAUUAGAGCUUUAGAUCACGAAGAUGGAAAACCUUUAUCGACACUUUUCAGUCUGCAACUUUCCAGGUUUUUUUUGUUCUAUGUUCAUAGCAAAUCCAGUCUCCAAAGCUUGAAUUGUAAAUGAGAACAGAGUAUUGUGCUUGUAAUUUAUUUCUUCUUCAGAUUUCACUUUCUCGUGUAAUUGUACUUUGCUUAUUAUAUGAAUGAAUAAAGAUACUUUCUGCAAUUUC
rnacentral:lncRNA from 1 species